rnacentral:rRNA from 1 species
GACGAACGCUGGCGGCGUGCUUAACACAUGCAAGUCGAACGGAAAGGCGCUGCUUUUGUGGGGUGGUCGAGUGGCGAACGGGUGAGUAACACGUGAGUAACAUGCCCUUGAAUUAGGGGUAACUUCAGGAAACUGGGGCUAAUACCGGAGAGGAGCUCCUGCUGCAUGGUGGGGGUUGGAAAGUGUCGGCGGUUGGGGAUGGACUCGCGGCUUACCAGCUUGUUGGGGGGGUAGGGGCGUACAAAGGCUUUGACGGGUAGCCGGCCUUGGAGGGUGACCGGCCUCCUGAGUCCUGCGGUAGGCCGCAGUCUCCAACGGGCGGCAGUAGGCGGGAAUCUUGCACAACGGGCGCACGCCUGAUGCGGCAGCCCCCCGUGCGUGAUGAUGGCUUUCUGGUUGUAAACCGCUUUCGCCUUUGCCGUAGCGUGAGUGACGGUAAUUGGUAAAGAAGCACCGGCUAACUACGUG